rnacentral:lncRNA from 12 species
UGGCAGGUGUAUAAUGCUGGUAUUUCACCGAAGAUUCAGGGUUGCAAAUCCUUGAGUUUUGUGUGGCCACAGCCACUUCCUGGGAUUGUCCCAAGAGAAAUGUAACCAUAGACAUCCAGGGACCCCUAGGUGGCUCAGCGAAAAUGAAGAGAAUAUUCAAACAUGCAAGAGAAUGCCAGUAAGGGAUGAUUAGAAGAGGAACAAUACAAUACAAAAAAUAGUAAUUGGUGAGUCUGUGUUAAAUAAGGAAGUUUAGAACAGCAAAUCUAAGAUGGUCUAGCAUGGUACAUGAUAAGAAAACAGAGAUCUUGAGUGAGUUUCACCUGUUUUUUGAAGGCACAGAGGGAAAUGGAAAAGCUAAUUAGAAUGCUUGCUAAUUAACAACCAUAGAAUGAAAGGCUGGAAAAGACCUUGAAGAUAUUUAUCCCAAUAUUCUUACUUUAUGGAUAAGGAAAUGGAGGUCUUGGGAGUGUCAAUGACUUACUGAAGUCACACAGAAACUUUAUGACAGACCCCAAAUAAGAAUCUGGUCCCCAAAUUACAGCCCAAGUUCCUUACUGAAUAUAUCACUGCAUUUCUACUUGUCC